GACGAACGCUGGCGGCGUGCUUAACACAUGCAAGUCGAACGGAAAGGCCCUGCUUUUUUGCGGUGCUCGAGUGGCGAACGGGUGAGUAACACGUGAGUAACCUGCCCUUGACUUUGGGAUAACUUCAGGCAACUGGGGCUAAUACCGGAUAGGAGCUCCUGCUUCAUGGUGGGGGUUGGAAAGUUUCGGCGGUUGGGGAUGGACUCGCGGCUUAUCAGCUUGUUGGUGGGGUAGUGGCUUACCAAGGCUUUGACGGGUAGCCGGCCUGAGAGGGUGACCGGCCACAUUGGGACUGAGAUACGGCCCAGACUCCUACGGGAGGCAGCAGUGGGGAAGAUUGCACAAUGGGCGGAAGCCUGAUGCAGCAACGCCGCGUGCGGGAUGACGGCCUUCGGGUUGUAAACCGCUUUCGCCUGUGACGAAGCGUGAGUGACGGUAAUGGGUAAAGAAGCACCGGCUAACUACGUG
rnacentral:rRNA from 1 species